UUGGUGAUUUUUGAAAAUUUUAUAAUUUGUUUUUUUGGUUAUAUUUUCCUUUAAAAGGCCUCUAGUUUUAUGGAUGUAAUGUAAUUUUCUUCGGAUUCCUAUUCUAUCGAAAUCUUCAAAUUUACUCGCAGAUAUUCACUUUAAGCGAAAGUUCGAUAUCCAAUAAUCCCUCCCGAAGAACUCUCCGAUUGAAACAAGAUAAUCGUCAUAAACAUACAUUAUCGCAUUCAAAGAAACCGACACCUCUGUCAGAUAUCACGAACCGGGUCCUCGUUAGUUCCUCUUCCUAUUCCCACCACCACAAAGAAAUAUCGACAAGGGCUCAAAAUGCCAAGCACUCUACACCAGUUCUUAACGAGCAACGUAAGGCGUCCAAUCUAAAUCUCAAACCACUCGCCGGCCAUUUAAAUUAUAUCAGCACCCCGGAGGCAUCCUGCGAAUCGCAAACCCCCAUAUUACGGGAUUAUAGUAGGCUUUCCCGAUCCAAUAAUUCGUUAAACGUAUCGCGCAUAUCCAAAACUCGUUCUCCUUUAGAGAAAAGCGAAUCGAUUAUCUUGGAUACUACGAAAUAUCCACCUCAUAAUCACGAUUUACUCCCAAAAAAUCCCGGAAAAAAUUUGGUCAAGAAAAGACGGAAGCAACCAAACGAAGAAGAGAUCGAACGAUGGUGCCAUCUUAAAAAUUCUGAAUUAGAAAAAAUCGACAGCCAGGAAUUAUUCAUCGAAUAAAUAAAUAAAAAAUUAUAUAAUAAUUUCAUUUUUAUAUUUAUACUUAAAAAUUAUAAAAAAAUGUUGAUAGAAUUGUUAUUCAUGUAUUUUAACGUCAGCGGACUUUUAGUUUACUUAAUAUUAAUAAUAUCUCAUUCUAUUAGCAUACCACCAAAUCUAAUAUAUUAUAAAAUUUGAAUUUUAUUGCUAAGGCCAAACCAAACAUUUAAAUAUUUUCAUUGCCAAUUAACGAAAAUUAUUCAUUUUUUUAUAAGGAAAUCAAGGAGAUACUUUACAGCCAAGAUUGCUUUUUCUACCUCCUGUGGUCUCGCGUUAGAUUUCAAACAUCCCAUUUUAAUUAUAAGAUUUUUUUAAAAAAAUAUAACUAUUAUU